rnacentral:tRNA from 1 species
GCCGGGGUGGCGAAAUUGGUAGACGCGCAGGCUUCAGGCGCCUGUGGGAGUAAUCCUGUGCUGGUUCGAGUCCAGUCUCCGGCA